rnacentral:rRNA from 1 species
UUGCUAAGGCCGAUGGCGACCGGCGCACGGGUGAGUAACACGUAUCCAACCUGCCGAUAACUCGGGGAGUAGCCUUUCGAAAGAAAGAUUAAUACCCGAUGGCAUAAUAGAACCGCAUGGUUUGAUUAUUAAAGAAUUUCGGUUAUCGAUGGGGAUGCGUUCCAUUAGGCAGUUGGUGGGGUAACGGCCCACCAAACCUUCGAUGGAUAGGGGUUCUGAGAGGAAGGUCCCCCACAUUGGAACUGAGACACGGUCCAAACUCCUACGGGAGGCAGCAUG